GACUAACGCUGGCGGCGUGCCUAAUACAUGCAAGUCGAACGGGAUUCUUUGAUCAGUUUGCUGAGAGAAGGAUCUAGUGGCGGACGGGUGAGUAACGCGUGGGAAUCUGCCUCUUACUGGGGGAUAACAGUGGGAAACUACUGCUAAUACCGCAUAAGAUCUUCGGAUGAAAGGUGCAACUGCACCGGUAAGAGAUGAGCCCGCGUCCCAUUAGCUAGUUGGUGAGGUAAAGGCUCACCAAGGCGACGAUGGGUAGCCGGCCUGAGAGGGUGAACGGCCACACUGGGACUGAGACACGGCCCAGACUCCUACGGGAGGCAGCAGUAGGGAAUCUUCCGCAAUGGGCGCAAGCCUGACGGAGCGACGCCGCGUGAGUGAUGAAGGCCUUCGGGUCGUAAAGCUCUGUUCUUGUAGGACGAAUAAGCCAGGGAGUGGAAAGACCCUGGUGAUGACUGUACUCAAGGAGAAAGCUCCGGCUAACUACGUGCC
rnacentral:rRNA from 1 species